GACGAACGCUGGCGGCGUGCUUAACACAUGCAAGUCGAACGGUAAGGCCCUUCGGGGUACACGAGUGGCGAACGGGUGAGUAACACGUGGGUGAUCUGCCCUGCACUUCGGGAUAAGCCUGGGAAACUGGGUCUAAUACCGGAUAGGACCACUGCCUGCAUGGGUGGUGGUGGAAAGCUUUUGCGGUGUGGGAUGGGCCCGCGGCCUAUCAGCUUGUUGGUGGGGUGAUGGCCUACCAAGGCGACGACGGGUAGCCGGCCUGAGAGGGUGACCGGCCACACUGGGACUGAGAUACGGCCCAGACUCCUACGGGAGGCAGCAGUGGGGAAUAUUGCACAAUGGGGGCAAGCCUGAUACAGCGACGCCGCGUGAGGGAUGACGGCCUUCGGGUUGUAAACCUCUUUCAGCACCGACGAAGCGCAAGUGACGGUAGGUGCAGAAGAAGGACCGGCCAACUACGUGCCAGCAGCCGCCGUAA
rnacentral:rRNA from 1 species